GAUGAACGCUGGCGGCGCGCCUAACACAUGCAAGUCGAACGAUUAAAGCACCUUCGGGUGUGCAUAAAGUGGCGAACGGCUGAGUAACACGUGGGCAACCUGCCCCUUUCAUUGGGAUAGCCACGGGAAACCGUGGAUAAUACCGAAUACUUCGAGACUUCCGCAUGGAAGACUCGAGAAAGCUCCGGCGGAGAGGGAUGGGCCCGCGGCCUGUUAGCUUGUUGGUGGGGUAACGGCCUACCAAGGCAAUGAUGGGUAGCUGGGUUGAGAGACCGACCAGCCAGAUUGGGACUGAGACACGGCCCAGACUCCUACGGGAGGCAGCAGUGGGGAAUCUUGCACAAUGGGCGAAAGCCUGAUGCAGCGACGCCGCGUGCGGGAUGAAGGCCUUCGGGUUGUAAACCGCUUUCAGCAGGGACGAGGCGAAAGUGACGGUACCUGCAGAAGAAGCCCCGGCUAACUACGUG
rnacentral:rRNA from 1 species